rnacentral:lncRNA from 1 species
UUAACUUAAUAAUCCUGAUUGUUAUCCUGCCCAUGAAUUCCCUCCCGGGUUAAUACUAACUUGUCCUGAUUAUCAUGUACCUAACGUGUAAUUAACAUUCUAAUUAUUUAAUGUACUUAUAGUAUCCACAUAAAAUAUCUAAAAGAGCCAGGGAUCUAAAAAGAGUGAAAGCAUAUGCAUUUUAAAAGAUUCUGCAGGAUGCUGAUCUGCUAUUCUCACUUAGAGAGGAUACCAAUUCAGCAUUCUGUUUUGUGUAAACUAUGCAUAAAUUCGCCUACAAUCCCUCUUUCUAAUAGCUAUGCACACCAUAAUGGAUUAAAUAAUUAAAAUGGAGAAGAACUUUGGGAUUAAGCUCCUCUCAUACACUAAUUCACCCUAAAUCCUAAUGUUAUCAUGCAAAUCAUAAUUUACGGGAAGUAACUUAACUUUCUUUCUAAACUAAUAUUGUCAUGCAUAUAUUUUGGGCAACUAAGAUACUAACUAAUCAUAAAGGUUGAGCUUCUAAGGGAACCCACCUGAAAUCGACGCUUGAACCAUACCACCGACAUUUCCGAAACUCGUCGAAAAGCAGAAUUUGCAACGAAACUACUCCAAACUUGUGUGCAGAUUUUUCUGCAUAAUACCAGCAUCAGAGUUCCAACUUCAAAAAUACCUACUGGCCACAAUUCUGGUCCAUAAAUUAUGAAACCGGGACCAUAACGACCGUAUUUGAGUCAGCUUUCCAUAGCAAUCAGAAUAAAUCCAAACGGAGUUACAGAGAGAAAUAAUUUACCGUUUGAGUGCAGCCCAAUCCCAAACACUUUCUGCAUAAAUUCUGUGUUGGACCUUUCACUUUAAAGAUUCGUCGAGACCUCAUUUCUCCAUUACAUCUCACUAGGCUGGUACCUAAACGACCGGGAUUACGUUAGCUAUCCAGAACAUCAAGAAUGGUUAAAUUUGGACUAACACAGAGAGAAGUACGACCAUUUUAGUGAGGGUACAUCCAGCAUACGAAUUUCCAUAAAUAUUUCCAGUCUUCUUUGUUUCCUUGUUUCAACAAUUGUCCUUACUGAUUCGUACAUCCUCAGUCAUCAUUCAAGCAUCCAAUGCUUCUUAAUAAAUUCUAUUUUCCUUUAUAAUGGUUCUGAAUUCCACUUUUAAUUCCAUGCUCAGCUCCAAUUAUUUAACCAAGCCUCAUUCACCACAAAAACCACAUGUAAAUACCAAGAAUGGAAUUAAUGACAUUUUCUAACAUCGAAGAAUAUGCUGAUUCUGAAAUCUGAAUGAAAGGAAAAGAGCUCUAAGUUUUCUUACCAAUAUUCAAGAAUGGUUUGACAAAGAUGCAGAAGAACUGUUGCCCUGCUACGGUCAUUGAGAGACCUUCCUGCUCGCUAGGUGAGCUGUUGCAGUAAGCAAAAUGCAGCUUUUGCUGCCAUCCUCCACUUCCAGCGGCCGUAGAAUCAUGAAUUAAGUGUUGAAACUCCAAGCUUCAAGCUUUUCCCCAACUUCUCUAUCUCCAUGAACUUCUUAUUUUUGCCACUAAGUUCUCAACUUCCAAUUUGACCCCUUUUACUCAAACCUCCGAAUCUUUGAGGUUUUAAUCAAUACUUUGUUCCUUGCUCUAAUUGACCCAAGAAACUAAUGAGUGGAUUGCAUGCAAGAAUCUUCCAUGUUUGAUUGUUGAAUAAAUGGAAAGGUAGAGAUGAGGGUGGGAGGCGUGAGAGAGGGUGAGGGAGUCUUUGUUUCCUGAGUGCUCUUUCAGUUCAGCAAAUGAAAAAUGAAAUUGAAGAGAUAUGGCUUUGGUCAUGUGGUUCAUAAUCAAAGUGUGGGUCCCGCUUUGAUUCUUUCUUAGCAUUUGUUUAAUAACAUGUAGACCACAAAUCAUGGUGUUCUAUUUGUGUGAUAAUUUCUACUCACUUAUUCCAAUUAGUCUCUAAUAUUUAUCUCUAAUUAAUAUUCUACUAUUAAUUAAAGUUGGGAUGUUACAAUCUAUCCCCCUUAAAAGAAUUUCGUCCGCGAAAUUCAAGAACUUCUUCAUUCAUCACCAAGUACAUUGCCUAUAAUCCAUUUCCAGAUUCUGGAUUUCGUUUCUUAAUUGAUCAUAAUUUAUCGUUCAAGGUUAGUAAUCGUCAUUCUUCACUGCGUUGGCGUUCACUUAUGAUACUUUCGGAAAUUCUACUCAUUUAUUCCAUGACGUUGAACUCAUAAUCUUAGCCCAUAAUGCAACUUUUAGGUACACACUCAUCUUAUAUUAGCUCCCUCUGUUACUUUUCCUCAACUUUAACGCUCACAGCGUAACUUUCCUUCUUUUGCACUUUUCAAUUCAAUGCCGAAGCAUACUUAAUCUAACUAGUUCACCGCGUCAAACUUCCCAAGUGAACCGUUUUACCUUCACAAUCUUUGCUCUCAAGGGUAUUUUAUACUAACAAUCUCAGGUCCAAACAUGAAUAUUUGCGUAAUUUACUCGUUAUACGAUCUUUAAUCAUUUUACGGUUCCCCACUUUCAAUUCCUUCGAAUAGGGAUUUCCUCUCUCAAAGAGUUGUUGACCUACAAGUCAAUCUGCCGACUACAUUCUCAACCACUUCCCGGCUGCGCACUCUGAUUCGACUACUUACUGUCAUUCUCUAUACACAUCAUUACAUUCUUAGUUGUAACUUCUCAGACACUGUUUCACAUCAUCUCAUCUUAUCCGAUGUUAUUUCUUCUAUUAAUACUUCUCGUACCGUAGACAUCACAAGUAGCACUUGCAUCGCUUAGUGACGUUAGGCACACCAUCAUAUACAUAAUACUUUACCGCCAUCUAACAUGUCUGCAACACUUCACUUCUUAUCACUUCACCGACCUCAGCUACAUUCAGUCCUCUCUAGUAUUUACUUCCCUUAUUGCUCCCGCCAAUUACUCUAUUACUUAAAAAAACUUACCUGAAUCCGAACUGAUUACUAACAACAAAGCUGGAAAGCUUAAGACAUUUCGUCAGAUUUACAUAAUGAUAACACUCUAUCCGUGAAUCCAAUUCACUGAUAUUAAGGAAUUAGAAAGGUUCGCAAAUUAAUUGAAUUAUUGUACUAAAUGUAAAUGAUAGGUUCCAAACACCAAAAUAAUUUAUCUCUCUCUUAACUGACUAAUCUCUGGAACUGGAACAGACUUGAUUCUCAUUAUGACUCAGCUGAUAAUUUCUCACAAAAGGUUUAACCGAGUAUGUUGGGUUAUUAGUUGAGAGGUUUGAAUACGAAAAAUUGUUCGGCGACUUCUUGAUGCUAGUACAAAACUGCAUUACUUGUUCUUGAAUCAAUGAUAAUGACACUUAAUAUGCCAGCUUAGGUAACUGAUAGUAUUAGAAUU